GGCAGGAUGGUAUAGGUGUAUGAUUCUUGCUUCGUGUGCGAGAGCUCCCGGGUUCAAAUCCCGGUUCGACUCA